CUUGAGUAUUUUCUGGUAGCAUCACAUUUCAAAAGCUUCUAUUUUUUUUUUUUUUCAGUUGCUUUUACUUACUAGAUUACACUCCAUUCGUAUAUUUUAAGACAUUUUUUCUUAUAAAACUAAUUAUGUAUUCGUGUGCAUAGUCGAAAAUCGUGUGAUAUAAUAAUUGUUUUAGUAGUUGUGGUCGAACCCCGUUCAAAAGCGGUCCUGGACCUUGAGAAGUAAUAAUAAUAAAGUCAUGUCAUCCUUGUAGUGGGAAAUACCGUUUGAGGGGUUAUUCAUUUUGUUCGGUGCUAUAAAAACCAUUAACAAAUAAAAAUUAUAUCAAAUUCGGUUAAACGGUGAAAAUUGAAAUGGACGGGGGAAGGUGUUCGAUCACGAUUGGUAG